rnacentral:rRNA from 1 species
CCUACGGGAGGCAGCAGUGGGGAAUAUUGCACAAUGGGGGAAACCCUGAUGCAGCGACGCCGCGUGAGUGAAGAAGUAAUUCGUUAUGUAAAGCUCUAUCAGCAGGGACGAAAAUGACGGUACCUGAGUAAGAAGCCCCGGCUAACUACGUGCCAGCAGCCGCGGUAAUACGUAGGGGGCAAGCGUUAUCCGGAUUGACUGGGUGUAACGGGAGCGUAGACGGCAGUGCAAGUCUGGAGUGAAAGGCGGGGGCUCAACCCCCGGACUGCUCUGGAAACUGUACGGCUGGAGUGCAGGAGAGGUAAGUGGAAUUCCUGGGGUAGCGGUGAAAUGCGUAGAUAUUAGGAGGAACACCAGUGGCGAAGGCGGCUUACUGGACUGUAACUGACGUUGAGGCUCGAAAGCGUGGGGAGCAAACAGGAUUAGAUACCCCGGUAGUC